rnacentral:rRNA from 1 species
UACGAAGGGGGCUAGCGUUGUUCGGAAUCACUGGGCGUAAAGGGCGCGUAGGCGGCUUUAUAAGUCGGGGGGUGAAAGCCUGUGGCUCAACCACAGAAUUGCCUUUCGAUACUGUAGAGCUUGAGACCGGAAGAGGUUAGUGGAAACUGCGAGUGUAGAGGUGAAAAUUCGUAGAUAUUCGCAAGAACACCAGUGGCGAAGGCGGCUGACUGGUCCGGUUCUGACGCUGAGGGCGCGAAAAGCGUGGGGGGAGCAAAACAGG